GCUUAGCCCUAAACAUAAAUAAUUCACGUAACAAAAUUAUUCGCCAGAGAACUACUAGCAAUAGCUUAAAACUCAAAGGACUUGGCGGUGCUUCACACCCCCCUAGAGGAGCCUGUUCUAUAAUCGAUAAACCCCGAUAAACCUCACCACUUCUUGCUAAUCCAGUCUAUAUACCGCCAUCUCCAGCAAACCCUUAAAAGGAAUAAAAGUAAGCAUAAUAAUCAUUACAUAAAAAAGUUAGGUCAAGGUGUAACCUAUGAAGUGGGAAGAAAUGGGCUACAUUUUCUAAAAAAGAACAACCAAUACGAAAGUUUUUAUACGAAACUAACAAACUAAAGGUGGAUUUAGUAGUAAAUUAAGAAUAGAGAGCUUAAUUGAAUCGGGCCAUGAAGCAC
rnacentral:rRNA from 1 species